AAAGAUGCGCUAAUUCCGCAUAAUCUCUAAGGAGAAAAGCAGGGGAUGGCAAGACCUUGGGCUUUUGGAGCGGCCGAUGUCUGAUUAGCUAGUUGGUGAGGUAAAGGCUUACCAAGGCUACGAUCAGUAGCUGGUCUGAGAGGACGACCAGCCACACUGGGACUGAGACACGGCCCAGACUCCUACGGGAGGCAGCAGUGGGGAAUUUUGGACAAUGGGGGCAACCCUGAUCCAGCCAUGCCGCGUGAGUGAAGAAGGCCUUCGGGUUGUAAAGCUCUUUCAGCGGGAACGAAAAGGUUACGGUUAAUACCCGUGACUAAUGACGGUACCGGAAGAAGAAGCACCGGCUAACUACGUGCCAGCAGCCGCGGUAAUACGUAGGGUGCGAGCGUUAAUCGGAAUUACUGGGCGUAAAGCGUGCGCAGGCGGUUUUGUAAGUCAGAUGUGAAAUCCCCGGGCUUAACCUGGGAACUGCGUUUGAAACUACAAGGCUAGAGUGUGGCAGAGGGGGGUGGAAUUCCACGUGUAGCAGUGAAAUGCGUAGAGAUGUGGAGGAACACCGAUGGCGAAGGCAGCCCCCUGGGUUAACACUGACGCUCAGGCACGAAAGCGUGGGGAGCAAACAGGAUUAGAUACCCUGGUAGUCCACGCCCUAAACGAUGUCAACUAGUUGUCGGGUCUUAACGGGCUUGGUAACGCAGCUAACGCGUGAAGUUGACCGCCUGGGGAGUACGGUCGCAAGAUUAAAACUCAAAGGAAUUGACGGGGACCCGCACAAGCGGUGGAUUAUGUGGAUUAAUUCGAUGCAACGCGAAAAACCUUACCUACCCUUGACAUGUACCGAAGCCCGCCGAGAGGUGGGCGUGCC
rnacentral:rRNA from 1 species